CCGCCGUGCUGGGCGAUGUGGACGCUGUCAAGUUCCGGUCGUCACUGACGCUGUUCGAGGCGGCGGGCGGUGGGCC
rnacentral:tRNA from 1 species